UACGUAGGGAGCAAGCGUUGUCCGGAAUCAUUGGGCGUAAAGCGCGCGUAGGUGGCCCUGUAAGUCCGUUGUGAAAGUCAAAGGCUCAACCUUUGAAAGCCGAUGGAUACUGCAGGGCUAGAGUACGGAAGAGGCGAGUGGAAUUCCUGGUGUAGCGGUGGAAUGCGCAGAUAUCAGGAGGAACACCGGUGGCGAAGGCGGUUCUCUGGGCAUGAUCUGACGCUGAGGAGCGAAAGUGUGGGGAGCGAACAGG
rnacentral:rRNA from 1 species